GGCUGAUGACGAGGUACCCGCUCUGAGCCAGUUGGCACCUGGUUGUGAAGAGCCCUAUGAGUGCCGAGGCC
rnacentral:snoRNA from 1 species